GAUGAAGAACGUAGCGAAAUGCGAUAAGUAGUGUGAAUUGCAGAAUUCAGUGAAUCAUCGAAUCUUUGAACGCACAUUGCGCCCCUUGGUAUUCCAUGGGGCAUGCCUGUUCGAGCGUCAUUUGUACCCUCAAGCUUUGCUUGGUGUUGGGUGUUUGUCCCGCGUUGCGCGUGGACUCGCCUUAAAGCGAUUGGCAGCCGGCAUAUUGGCCUUGGAGCGCAGCACAUUUUGCGCUUCUAGUCAUGAAUGUUGGCGUCCAUUAAGCCUAUACAUUUGCUCUUGACCUCGGAUCAGGUAGGGAUACCCGCUGAACUUAAGCAUAUCAAUAAGCGGAGGA
rnacentral:misc_RNA from 1 species